UACGGGGGGGGCAAGCGUUGUUCGGAAUUACUGGGCGUAAAGGGCUCGUAGGCGGCCAACUAAGUCAGACGUGAAAUCCCUCGGCUUAACCGGGGAACUGCGUCUGAUACUGGUUGGCUUGAAUCCGGGAGAGGGAUGUGGAAUUCCAGGUGUAGCGGUGAAAUGCGUAGAUAUCUGGAGGAAUACCGGUGGCGAAGGCGGCAUCCUGGACCGACAUUGACGCUGAUGAGCGAAAGCUAGGGGAGCAAACGGG
rnacentral:rRNA from 1 species